UACGUAGGGGGCAAGCGUUGUCCGGAAUUAUUGGGCGUAAAGGAGCGUGUAGGCGGCCAGGUAGGUCUGGUGUGAAAACUCGAGGCUUAACCUCGAGAUGUCAUCGGAAACCAUCUGGCUAGAGUCCGGAAGAGGAGAGUGGAAUUCCUGGUGUAGCGGUGAAAUGCGCAGAUAUCAGGAAGAACACCAAUGGCGAAAGCAGCUCUCUGGGACGGUACUGACGCUGAGACGCGAAAGCGUGGGGAGCGAAACAGG
rnacentral:rRNA from 1 species